UUAAUAAAAAAGAUGAUGGAAACACUUUACACUUGCCAAAUGCCAAUCUUCCAAUUAAACAAUUAUUGAGAAAAGAUUCCCACUCCCAAAACAAAACCCCACAUAAUAAUUGACUUUUACUAAACAACAAUUUCAAUUAGCCAUGCUUGAAGCCUUUCAUAUUAUGAGACUUUUGAUCACAUCUGAUUCCAUUUCUUCACAUCUUGUUCUUGUUCAUGGCUUGUUAAACCAACAAAAACCACCAUCUUCUUCUUCAUCAUCAUAUUCACACUACACAUAUGAUGUUUUCUUAAGCUUCAGAUACUCGAAAAAACUUCAUUCAACAUCUCUACAUAGCUUUGACCCAAUCUGGAAUCCACACAUUCAGGCAUGACUAUGAACUACCAAUUGGCAAUGACAGAUAUUUGGAAAUAGCAAAGGAGUGGGUAGUUCUUUCGGUUUACUACAACAUUGACCCGCCUCAAAUUCGUGAACAAACCAUGACUUUUGGUUGUGGUUUUGGUAACGAUGAGAAGGGUUUGGCUAUGGACAUCAACAAAGUGGAAAGAUGGCAGGCCGGGUUAGCCAAGGUUGCAAAUUUAUCUGGAUGGGACUUGUAAAACAUCGCGCAUGGAGAGUAAACAAAGCUUAAAUGAAAGGUUAGAGGAGUGGCGAGCAGCCUUAGAAGGCAAAGGGUUAAGGGUUAGCCGCUCCAAGACUGAGUAUCUACACUGUAAUUUCAAGGGUGUAGAUGACAACGAGGACACUCAUAUCAGCAUUGAAGGACAAGUAGUCCCAGGGAAAACUAAGUUUUAAGUAUUUAUGAUCGUUUGUACAAAGGGAUGGAGAGUUGGAUAGUGACGUAGCCCAUCGCGUCCAAGUUGGAUGGUGUAGGUGGAGAGCAACCACCGGUGUAUUGUGCGACAAGAGAUUCCCAACUAAAUUAAAGGGAAAAUUUUAUAAGGUUGUAGUUAGACCUGCUAUGUUAUACUGAACAGAGUGUUGGGCCAUCAAGAAGACACAAGCGCGUAAGCUGGAGGUAGUAGAGAUGAGGAUGUUGAGGUGGAUGUGUGGGCACACUAGGUUGGAUAGGAUAAGAAAUGAGGUUUUUAGGGAGAGGUUAGGAGUAGCUAGUAUAUCAGAUAAGAUAAGGGAGGGAAGGUUAACAAGGUUUGGGCAUGUCAGGAGAAGACAAGCGACAUUCGCGGUUAGAACAAUAGAAAGUCUCAUUGCGGAGGGGCGGAGGAGUAGAGGUAGGUCGAAACUCACUUGGGAGGAGCGAAUUAGAAAGGAUUUGUUACACUUACACCUCUCUGAGGACAUGAGUUCGUGGAGACGUAGGAUUAAGAUCAAAGACUUUUAAUGGGUAUUACCUCUUUGUAUUAGUUUAUUGUCAUAGGAGCUUAGUGGGUUUUGUUAGUGUCUUAAAAGGAUUGUGCAUGUUAUCUCCUGUCUAAUGUGUUAUGAGUGUGUUAAUUGCCUGAUAGCUUACUACGAUUUUUAUUAGUACAAUACUUUUUCUUUGUCUAGCUAUGUGCAAUUGUAUGUUUACUAUGGCUCUUAUAUAUGGAAUCAUCAUUGGAGCCGAGGGUCUUACCGGAAGCAGCCUCUCUGUCCCUUGGGAUAGAGGCAGGGGCGGACCCACAUAGAGUGGGUCGGGGUCCCCGGACCCCAAUGUUUUUAAAAAAAUUAGUAGAUCCGGUAUAUUAAAUUUUAUAAGGACCCAAUGAAUACAGUUAGGUGGACCCCAUAGAAAGAAAAGGAAAGCUGGUGUAGUGGUAAAUCCUUCUCUUUACCACAAGAGGUCAUGGGUUCAAUCCUUGUAAAGCUUUUUUUAUAAAUCUAGUUCAAACCUCUCUCUGCCCUGACCCAAACGAGGACUGACCCGAAAAUUUUAACGCUUUUGGUUAUGAAAAUUUUGAACAUCGAAAAAAUGGACCCUAUUGGAAUAAAAUCAUGGAUCCGCCAUUGGAUAGAGGUAAGGUGUGCCUACAUCGCACCCUCCCAGACCCUACUAAUAGUUAUUAUGGCUAUGAGUGAGAUUAUAAUGGGUAUGAUUGAUUGAUUGAGAGUUACUUUUACUUAGUUUGUAACCUUGUCUUCAUGUAAAUCAAGAUUGUUGAGUACCAAGAUUAAGUAGAAAUCAUUUAUCGACAUUAUUUUCAUGUAAAGGUUAACAAAACUAAAGUUGAAAUUGAUGAUCAAUAUUAUCUUC